ensembl:lncRNA
GCCGAGACUAUCGCACGGUGGCAGUAGAGAGACGCGGAUGAAGUGUGUAUCAGUCUUGCUGGUGGCUGGCAGCGACGGCAGAGCAGAGCGUGACAUGCCAGUUGUUUUUCCUGAUGGGAUGUGUUUUCUUGGUCUUGGAUCCACGGAGUGAUGGCAGAAUGUUCCAUUUAUUCUAUGGAUCUUUCUUUCCCGUCUUAUUUCUGCCACCAUGGCAUGAUCCAGAGCAGGGCGGUGUAACUGGGUGAUUCAAAAUCACUGUUAUAGUGAUCGGAAGAGACACGGAGGAUUUUGCAACAAGUGCAAGUAGGAAAACAGUCAUUACACCUUUCCCCUUCAUAAUCAACGCAGUUCUCUCUGGCAGUGUUCAAGCCUCAGCAGCAGUCAAUCGGAGUGUUUCUGGCUGAUUUGUUCUUCUGAUGAUGAUGGUUGGCAGCUCCCUUCUGGUCUCGUUUUACAGCGCAGAGUGUCAGUGAGUAGUGCUGGUUAUAUAGUGACUUGUAUUUCCAUUCACUUACAUCCACGGUUUUAUCCAACCGAGGUCGUUUUAUCCAGCCGGCGCGUUAUAUCCGACCAAGGCCGUUAUAUGAAACUGAGGCCGUUAUAUCCGAACAUGACUAGUAAAUGCAGUGUGAUAUAAUAUUGAAAUGUGAAAUGAAAUACAUUUAUUUAUUAUAUUCUGGUUGGUUUGUUUCCGUUUUAUUCAACAAAGCACCACCUUGUACACAUAAGCAUACAUAGAUACGGCUUCGGUCUGGAAUCGAAAUGAGUCAAACGACUUCAAACUUUGACAACUUUGAAAUAGUAGCCAGGGGAGAAGUUCACUCUGGCACUGAGUUCCUGUAAUGGAGGCUCAGGACGGCUCUGCUUCAUGUAGAGGAAGCCCCUGGAAAUUGAGUACACAUUAAACUUGUUCUUUUUAUUUUUACAUUGUUAUGUUUUCAUACUGUCAUACUCUGCCUCCCUAAAUGUCUAUUACCUCCAUGAACGAGGUGAUAUAAUAUUGAAAUGUGAAAUUAAAGACAUGACUAUAUUCUGGUUGGUUGGUUUCCGUUUUAUUCAACAAAGC